rnacentral:rRNA from 1 species
AACCUGAGAAACCCAAAAGAUCGAAUGGAGAGAUUCAUCGUCGACGGCGUUGGCUACCGUUUGUGCGCGAUGCUCCGGGUGGGACCCUGCGGUUCCAUUAGCGAGGGCACGCCACCUUCGGAUCGAACUUUCCUGCGUCGUAGUCGUGCACUUCUCCCCUAGUAGGACGUCGCGACCCGUUGUGUGUCGGUCUACGGCCCGAGCGGGAGACUGUCGCGUCGCUUCGGCGCACGCGGCAGACCCUCGGUCGCCCGGCCGGCUGCACGACGGUACACCAACGGUAUCGGGCCGCAGCCAAUCCAUUCUCGAAUGUGUGUGCGUCCAUCCCGCCGCAAGCUCGGUCAGUUCUUACCCGGAGGUACGGACCCUGUGCCGUCCCCGGGCCUGGCCAGCUGUUAGCAGGCGGUGUCCUCGGACCGGCCAAACCUCGGAUUACCGGUCGGCGACGCUAUUGCUUUGGGUACUCUCAGGACCCGUCUUGAAACACGGACCAAGGAGUCUAACAUGUGCGCGAGUCAUUGGGAUGCACAAACCUAAAGGCGAAAUGAAAGUGAAAGUCGGCCUUCGCGCCGAUCGAGGGAGGAUGGGCCGCGUAACCAUGCGGCCCCGCACUCCCGGGGCGUCUCGUUCUCACUGCGAGAAGAGGCGCACCUAGAGCGUACACGUUGGGACCCGAAAGAUGGUGAACUAUGCCUGGUCAGGACGAAGUCAGGGGAAACCCUGAUGGAGGUCCGUAGCGAUUCUGACGUGCAAAUCGAUCGUCGGAACUGGGUAUAGGGGCGAAA